CUGCGGGCUCAGCACGGUUCCAUUUUUAUCGACUAUCACUAUGCGCGUCCCUUUCGCACUUACGUACUUGUUAGAACGUGACAGGCAUGGUGACAAGGGAUAAAAACGCGACCGUGCUAAGCCGCCUGGACAUUUUUUGUUUAAACAAAAGUGAAUGUUUCAUUCGAUGAUUGCAUCAUUCUCUUUUGAUAAAAAUCCUAAAAGUUUUACACAAUUUUUACUGAUUGGUUUGUGAUUAUGAUGACGUUAAUCGUUAGGAUUGAACAAAAAUCACAUAAAUAAAAGGAUGUCACUAGCCCAAGGGCUACAACUUGAAUUAGGUUAUUUUCUAUAAAAAGGCUGAGUCUAAUGUAUUCGUGGAUACAAUGGCUUUUGAGAUGUAGGGGAGAAUUAGUUUUGUUUGCGUUAAGGGGCCGGGCAGUGUUGCCAGGUCUAAUGUGUACGAUAUUGAGUCUUAUUACCUAAACUAUAAGGUCCAAAAGUAUCCAUAUCUGUAGAUGUGAUUUAGGCAAGAUUUCGAGGCGGAUUAAGGAAUUAAACUAUAAUUUUUUUCUUGUACCUUUAUUGUCUAUCGUAUGUUUUUUAUUGUACUAUUUUUUGUAUUCAUACUAAAAUUAUUUUUGAAGAGAAUAAUACACUGUCCCUCACCAUUUAGGAUCUUGGAACUCUCAUUUGGCAUGUAAAGCCUGACCAGUAAUAUAUGAUCACGCGCCAUGUUGCUGAAUUUCACUGGAACUAAUUUUUUCAUACUAAACUGAACUGUCACCCUAUAAAUGAGAAUCACAGCACCCUCUUGACAAUGGUCAUAUAUUAUUGGUCAGGCUUUAAGUUUUUCUGUCUGACUAUACCUAAGUCUUAGAUUUCAUUUAGAAGUGGAGUGAUUGUAUAUUUUGUUAGUUUGGAGUGACGCUGCCGCGCCCCGCGUGUAUUUUGUAUUAUGUAGCUAGUUUUACGUUCGAUGUUUUUUCUAUAGAUAUUUAAUAUUCACCAUGUAUAUAGUAGAUAGUACAAAAAUAUUAAAUGAAAACUAUUUAAAAUA